rnacentral:rRNA from 1 species
AUUGAACGCUGGCGACAUGCCUUACACAUGCAAGUCGAACGGCAGCACGGGUGCUUGCACCUGGUGGCGAGUGGCGAACGGGUGAGUAAUACAUCGGAACAUGUCCUGUAGUGGGGGAUAGCCCGGCGAAAGCCGGAUUAAUACCGCAUACGAUCUACGGAUGAAAGCGGGGGACCUUCGGGCCUCGCGCUAUAGGGUUGGCCGAUGGCUGAUUAGCUAGUUGGUGGGGUAAAGGCCUACCAAGGCGACGAUCAGUAGCUGGUCUGAGAGGGCGACCAGUAACACUGGGACUGAGACACGGCCCAGACUCCUACGGGAGGCAGCAGUGGGGAAUUUUGGACAAUGGGCGAAAGCCUGAUCCAGCAAUGCCGCGUGUGUGAAGAAGGCCUUCGGGUUGUAAAGCACUUUUGUCCGGAAAGAAAUCCUUGGCCCUAAUACGGUCGGGGGAUGACGGUACCGGAAGAAUAAGCACCGGCUAACUACGUG